rnacentral:rRNA from 1 species
UACGAAGGGGGCUAGCGUUGCUCGGAAUCACUGGGCGUAAAGCGCACGUAGGCGGACUCUUAAGUCAGGGGUGAAAUCCUGGAGCUCAACUCCAGAACUGCCUUUGAUACUGGGAGUCUCGAGUUCGGGAGAGGUGAGUGGAACUGCGAGUGUAGAGGUGAAAUUCGUAGAUAUCUGGAGGAACACCGGUGGCGAAGGCGGCAUCCUGGACCGACACUGACGCUGAGGAGCGAAAGCCAGGGGAGCAAACGGG